GCAGCUGGGUAUCUCAGUUGGUUAGAACAUGGUGCUGAUAACGCCAAGGUUGCAGGUUCGAUCCCCUAUGGGACAGCUGCA